rnacentral:siRNA from 1 species
ACAUGUUCUUAUUAGAUGAGGGUA